rnacentral:tRNA from 1 species
GCGCUCAUAGCUCAGCUGGAUAGAGCAACGGACUUCUAAUCCGUAGGUCGCAGGUUCGAAUCCUGCUGGGCGUGCCA